GUGGUGGUGGUGCUGGUGGUGGUGGUUUACUGGUUUUAAUGGCGUUUAUGUUUAAUAGCUCUGGAAAGUAAAAAAUACAGGUUAUGGAUGUAAUGAUCUAUAUUCAGAGUUAUGUAGAGCUUGUGUUGGUCCUCUUGUUGAUGUUGGUGAAAGAGUUUCUUACUUCCCUCAAGGUCAAAUGGACCAAUUAGAAGCAUUGAAAAAAUAAAGAAUUGGCUCAGAGAAUUCUUAUGCUUACUCCACCUUCAAAGAUUCUUUGUCGAGUUGUUCAUAUCGAAUUACUGGCAUGAUGGACAAGAAAAUGAUAAGAUUUAUGCAAGAGUGACUUUGCAAUCAGAAGAUGAUCCGAAUGAACCUAGUAGUCCUGAUCCAUGGACACAAGAACCACCAAGAGAGGGUGUUCAAUCUUUUUGCAAGAUUUUGACUGCAUCUGAUACUAGUACUCAUGGAUGGUUCUCUGUUCUUCAGAAACAUGCUAAUUAAAGUUUACCUCAGUUAGUAAAACUUGUUUCAUUUCAUUUUCACUCUUAUUCUUUUGUUUUUUGUUUUCACAUUCUGUAGGAUAUGACCCAAGCGACACCAACUCAGGAAUUGAUUGCAAAGGAUCUUCAUCGGUUUAAGCAUAUUUUUAGAGAGAGAUUAGAAUGAGAAUUUGCAUGUUGGAGUAAGGCAUCAAGCUAGGCCACAAAGCAAUAUGCCCUCAUCUGUGAUAUCCAGCUAGAGAAUACAUCUCGGAGUGCUUUCAACAGCAUCACAUGCUGUAGUGACGAAAACCCUUUUCAUAGUUUACAACAUUUCAAGGUUGACUUAUUUAUGCCCUUUUAUACUGCCGAUUGUACCCAUCUUAAGAGCUGGUCUUUCUCUUUUCGAGCAUGCUUCAUCCAUCUUUCCUGCCACUGAACCUAUCAUUUGGGUAAGGGAAUAAGUAGAGAUGAGGAAACCAUGUUGCGAAUUGUACAUUGAGGAGACCCUAUUUCCAACUAAAGCAAUGUUUUUGUUCAUGAAAUUUUCAGGCUUCAUGUAGAAAUCAGAACCUUCAUGUUUGCUAUGAGUACAUGGCGGAGCAAGGGAAUGAACUGUAUGAGCUGGUAAGAAAAUUUCGCGACGAUAGUUCUACUAGUGAUGGUGGUAGUGGUGGUGAUUUUUAUAGUGUUAUGUUAUUGUUUUCACAUUUGGAACUUGAGAGAUUGUAGUUUGUUGAACUUGUAAAAUGAAGUUAGUUAAUAAUGUUCAUUUAAUUUCAACUUUUUUGGUAAUUUUGUUGGAUUGAUUUGAUUUUAAAUGUACAGGGGUAACUUGAUUUUGUUGCCUGAAAUUGUACUUUGGACAUGGUUUUGACCGGUCAAAACCACUAUUUUUUUU